CGCACCGGCCGGCGAGCUUGCUCUCGGGAAAAGUCCGGCCUCGCCUCACGGCCCCAGUUGCCAGAUGGGUAGACUGAGGCCGGGAACAGUGCGGGGCGUCGGCAGAGCCGCGGGGGAACAGGAACUCCAGGAGAGUCCACACUGGAAGCAGAGAAGGAAGGAUCAUCAGCCUGUGACAGAUUCCACAUACAAAAGGAAUGCCCUCAAAUCCAGUCCGGGUUGCUGCAAAUG